AUUGAACGCUGGCGGCAUGCUUUACACAUGCAAGUCGAACGGUAACAGGGAGCUUGCUCCGCUGACGAGUGGCGAACGGGUGAGUAAUGCGUCGGAACGUGCCGAGUAGUGGGGGAUAACGCAUCGAAAGGUGUGCUAAUACCGCAUACGAACUGAGGUUGAAAGUGGGGGACCUUCGGGCCUCACGCUAUUCGAGCGGCCGACGUCUGAUUAGCUAGUUGGUGAGGUAAAGGCUCACCAAGGCGACGAUCAGUAGCGGGUCUGAGAGGAUGAUCCGCCACACUGGGACUGAGACACAGCCCAGACUCCUACGGGAGGCAGCAGUGGGGAAUUUUGGACAAUGGGCGCAAGCCUGAUCCAGCCAUGCCGCGUGUCUGAAGAAGGCCUUCGGGUUGCAAAGGACUUUUGUCCGGGAGCAAAUGCUGGUGGCUAACAUCCACCGGAGCUGAGAGUACCGGAAGAAUAAGCACCGGCUAACUACGUGCCAGCAGCCGCCGUAACAC
rnacentral:rRNA from 1 species